AAAUAAUGCAAUUAACGAGAUUUAGACACUGACUUAUAUCAAACUUGAGUUGGAAUUAAAGAUGACAUUAAAACGGUUUGGAUUACAAUCAAUGAACUAAGGACGCUAAAAACACAACUUGACAUUUACGUGCUGAACGUUUGUAUUAUGCCACGUUAAAACCAAAUGAACUAUAUUAUGAGAUAUGAUCACCAGAUUCCUAUGUAUUCCACAUUUAAUAGGACUUCAGCCUGUAUUACUCUAUCAAUACUAGCUGAACCAAAUUAAAACUACUAGGUACGCCAUUCACAUACUCAUAGGAAUUCACAUAAUUGGCUUAGCAGUUCAUAGCUAAGAGUCUUAGGCAAUUCCACUUAAAUGCAAAUCUAAUUACCAGUCACAUAAUCCACAAAUUACAUAGCCUUAAUACAAAUCCAAACAGUCCAGAUCUCAAACAAUUCGAAACUAUCACAAAUCCAUUUAUUCUACUACAAAUAGGCUGAAAUAAUAAACUUCCAUAUGGUACUGCAGUUAAUCAAUGGGACAGUGGAUGCUUCAUGGGAGGUCAAACAGCAAGAACAAUUUCAUUUCACAAAGGAAUUACAUGAAGUCGAUUUCGAGUGUGUACCUGAUUUCGAAAUUAUAAGGAGAAAGAGGAUAUGUCAGUGACAAUAAAACACAGCAGCAGCAGGAACUUUUCAAAAUUCAAGAAGAGUCAAUAGAUUCACCCACAACAACACCAAACAACCAUAAACCAACCAGUAAAUCGUCACACUCGAUGGAUAAAAACUCAACUAGCUCGAAUAAAACAGAAGCAAUGCACAGUUAACUCCAAAUACUUCCAGAAUUCAAAUGUCGAACAGAAAAAGGAGAAUUCUAGCUAUUUUUCUGACCCUAAAUGAAAGUAUCAGUCGAACUAAAAGCUGUAUUAAGAAAACAAGAUCAAUGUACAAGUAUUUUUGGUAUUUUUGUGGCUUUUGUAUAUUUUUUGGUUUUUAUAAAAUGAACAGAAGAGUUUUAGAUCUCGAUCUCAAACCUGAAAUUCAAACUAGCUUUAGAAGACAUAUAACUAUUUUUUAGAGGGAUUUUCUGCUGAAAAAGGAAGACCCUAAACUAGGUGUGUAUGCCUUUUAUAGGCACCAAAUAGGUGAAUUAUUAGUUUUUGUUUUUCUUUCAAGUCCCUAUUAAUUUUUAGCUUAUAUCCCUUAUUUCUACAGAAAUGUACCUUUACACCCACACCUAGAAGUUUCUAGGAAAUUCUUAGCUAGAUUCCAUGCCCUGAAUUACCCCAACUACCCUCAACUUAUCCCAACAUUACUAAAGUAGAACAGCUAUAUCCAAACAAAUCCUAGGGUCUGAACUUUCAACUAGAAAAAUGUAAUCAUAAUUCAACUAUUAACUAAUCUAUCUACUGAAACCAUUUAACAGCAACAAUCAUCAAAACUAAUUACAAACUGAAAAUUAAUCAGACUUAACAACCAUAGAAAAUACAAAUAAUUAUUAACUAAACAGGAUUACAAUUGAGAUUAAGAAUCAUUAUUCAAAUAGCCAAUUGAAACAAGAAUCAUUAUUCAAAUAGCCAAUUGAAACAAAUCUAAGGAAUAACCGAUUAAUCGCCUAAAACUAACACGAAUCAAGCAGACAAGGAUAAAAAAAAGAUGAAAUAGCAAUAAAGAAAAGUCAUUAAUUUCGGACUAACCAUAAUUACUAAACAAAAUUAAGAAGCUAUGUAAUCCUGGGAAGUCAGUGAACAUCAAAAAAGGGAAAAAAAUAUUGAAAGAAAAUAAACUCGAAAACUCACUGACUCACUUCGAGACUCCGGUCAAAUUUCCAAGUUCGAACACGACCAAAUCUGGCAGAAACAAAGCUCGAUUAAUGACCAAUUCACUACGAGGAAUGUUAGAGGGUCAUUUGGUAUCAAAUUGGUGAGGUUUGGGGCAAUUAAGGUUUGGCCGGUAAGUCUUUGACUCCGAAUUUGAGGAGUUACAAUGGGAUUCGAAGAAAACCAAUUGGUGUUUUGGGAUGAAGGUGGUGAGGAGAAUCUAUGGUGUUGAUUUGGAGGGAUUUAGACGAAGUAGAGUUGUGGCCGGAAAACUUCCAACGAAGAUUCAACGAUCUCCGGAAGGAUUCGAGGGAAACUAAGGGCAGGGAUGGAAAGAGGGGAACGAGGAGAAUUUGUGGUGUAAUUUGGGGAUGGUUUGGAGGUGGUGGCAUUCGCCGGCGGCCGCUCCGCCGGUGGAGUUGCAGAGAAGAUACGAGGAAGAAGACUUGGUCGUUAGGGUUAUACACGUAUUCAGACACUUAUAUUAAAAUACAAAGAUCCAACGUGGGCCGUUGGAU
rnacentral:lncRNA from 1 species